CGCGCGUCGACAUCGGACGCUAUGACACACUCGUUCGUGCCUUAUGUGCCACCGAAGCCCCGAAGUGCUCUGGCAUAUACCUUCACAUGUUUCCCUUCAGUAGGAAAUUGCUGGACAGGCAGACCAGCGCACCGGAAUUGUACUGGCGAAGCCACAAGCAACUCAAAGAAUCUGUUUAAUUGUUGCACUUUGAACAAUCAUGCUUCUACAAAGGCCACAGCAGAAAAACAGCCUGAUGCCGAAUAUUUCUGUGCCACGAAGUAAUCAAGAGGCGAGUGCCUAUAAUGCGGACGAAAUCGAGUGCAUCGAGACUUAGAACGACAGAAAGCUGAGCUAGUUGACAAUGCCUACGCCUAGCCACAGCAGCUCCCUCAUACAGACUCCGCAAGCCAAGAGGCCGUGGAGCCAAAUGCAGGCAGCCAGCACACCUCGAACAGCCACCUUGACUGCGGGUGUGUCACCCUAGUCGCCAAGGAAACAUUUGAGGGAAAGUGACAGGCAAUGUGAACAGCCACUUCUCCAUGUAAACAAUACUCUUUCUCUCGGAUGACUCCUACGCCUCGCCACGCCAGCACACUUGUGCACAAAGAUGCCGCAGAGGCACGUGCAGGUCAGAGGCAAGAAGCAGUGGCACUGGUGUCGACUUUUACCCAAUUUCUUUUUCUUACACUGAGGCAGCCAGCACACCUCGAACAGCCACCUUGACUGCGGGUGUGUCAGUAGAUUCCUGUUGUACAUAUGCUCAUAAUAAACUUCAGUAAACUUGAACUUCAUAAUAAACUUGAAGGCAAAUGGGA